CCUACGGGAGGCAGCAGUGAGGAAUAUUGGUCAAUGGGCGCGAGCCUGAACCAGCCAAGUAGCGUGAAGGAUGACUGCCCUACGGGUUGUAAACUUCUUUUAUAAAGGAAUAAAGUGAGGCACGUGUGCCUUUUUGUAUGUACUUUAUGAAUAAGGAUCGGCUAACUCCGUGCCAGCAGCCGCGGUAAUACGGAGGAUCCGAGCGUUAUACGGAUUUAUUGGGUUUAAAGGGAGCGUAGAUGGGUUGUUAAGUCAGUUGUGAAAGUGUGCGGCUCAACCGUAAAAUUGCAAUUGAUACUGGCAGCCUUGAGUACAGGUGAGGUAGGCGGAAUUCAUGGUGUAGCGGUGAAAUGCUUAGAUAUCAUGAAGAACUCCGAUUGCGAAGGCAGCUGACCAAAGUGCAACUGACAUUGAGGCUCGAAAGUGUGGGUAUCAAACAGGAUUAGAUACCCGGGUAGUC
rnacentral:rRNA from 1 species